UACGGAGGGGGCUAGCGUUGUCCGAAGUUACUGGGCGUAAAGCGCGCGCAGGCGGCCUCGCGCGCCCGACGUGAAAGCCCCCGGCUUAACCGGGGAGGGUCGUUGGGGACGGCGGGGCUUGAGGGCGGGAGAGGGCGGUGGAAUUCCCGGUGUAGUGGUGAAAUGCGUAGAGAUCGGGAGGAACACCUGUGGCGAAGGCGGCCGUCUGGGCCGACCCUGACGCUGAGGCGCGAAGGCGUGGGGAGCGAACGGG
rnacentral:rRNA from 1 species